rnacentral:rRNA from 1 species
AUUGAACGCUGGCGGCAUGCUUUACACAUGCAAGUCGAACGGUAACAGGUCUUCGGAUGCUGACGAGUGGCGAACGGGUGAGUAAUGCAUCGGAACGUGCCCAGUCGUGGGGGAUAACGCAGCGAAAGCUGUGCUAAUACCGCAUACGAUCUAUGGAUGAAAGCGGGGGAUCGAAAGACCUCGCGCGAUUGGAGCGGCCGAUGUCAGAUUAGCUAGUAGGUGAGGUAAAGGCUCACCUAGGCGACGAUCCGUAGCGGGUCUGAGAGGAUGAUCCGCCACACUGGGACUGAGACACGGCCCAGACUCCUACGGGAGGCAGCAGUGGGGAAUUUUGGACAAUGGGGGCAACCCUGAUCCAGCCAUGCCGCGUGAGUGAAGAAGGCCU